UGAAUGAUCCUUUAGUCCUCGUAUGUUAUGAUGAUGAUGAUACGGUACGGAAGACCAGUGAGGCCCAUUCUACGCCCCUUGCACCAUGUAAGAGAAAGACCAGUGAGGCCCAUUCUACGCCCCUGGCACAGUUGGACUGUUAUGUUAUGCUAUGUUAUGUAAGAGAAAGACCAGUGAGGCCCAUUCUACGCCCCUGGCACAGUUGGAC
rnacentral:lncRNA from 1 species